UACGUAGGUGGCAAGCGUUGUCCGGAUUUAUUGGGUUUAAAGGGCGCGUAGGCGGCUUGGUCAGUCCCGUGUGAAAUCCCUCGGCUCAACUGAGGAACUGCACGGGAAACUGCCUGGCUUGAGUUCGGGAGAGGGAAGCGGAAUUCCGGGUGUAGCGGUGAAAUGCGCAGAUAUCAGGAGGAACACCAAUUGCGAAGGCAGCUCGCUGGGACGUUACUGACGCUGAGACGCGAAAGCGUGGGGAGCAAACAGG
rnacentral:rRNA from 1 species